AUGAAUUUUUCACAAAGUGGAGAUUGUUUUAUUUAUGGAAGAGGAAUGAUACAUGACAUGCUUUCAGGUUUUUCUUUCUGA
rnacentral:lncRNA from 1 species